rnacentral:ncRNA from 1 species
GUGUGAAUGAGAGGCGCAAGGGACCAUGAGUAUCCACCGCGAGGAAACGGUAUCUGUUGACCGGUGGAAAAAGGGGUCAUUGCCGAAGUCGAUCACCCUACCGAAGGGGAGCGACUGGGUCCGUCACUGAAUAAGGGCGGGACUGUCACGGAGUUAUCCGUGGAGCACUGAUAUCACC